ensembl:miRNA MIR6814 microRNA 6814
UUUCCUCCCAAGGGUGAGAUGCUGCCACCCAGCCCUGCAGAGCCCCUGACUCGCAUCCUUCCCUUGGCAG